rnacentral:rRNA from 1 species
CCUACGGGUGGCAGCAGUGAGGAAUAUUGGUCAAUGGACGAGAGUCUGAACCAGCCAAGUAGCGUGAAGGAUGACUGCCCUAUGGGUUGUAAACUUCUUUUAUAUGGGAAUAAAAUGUUCCACGUGUGGGUUUUUGUAUGUACCAUAUGAAUAAGCAUCGGCUAACUCCGUGCCAGCAGCCGCGGUAAUACGGAGGAUCCGAGCGUUAUCCGGAUUUAUUGGGUUUAAAGGGAGCGUAGGUGGAGUGUUAAGUCAGGUGUGAAAGUUCGCGGCUCAACCGUAAGAUUGCAGUUGAAACUGGCAGUCUUGAGUAGAGUAGAGGUGGGCGGAAUGCGUGGUGUAGCGGUGAAAUGCUUAGAUAUCGCGCAGAACUCCGAUUGCGAAGGCAGCUCACUGGAGUGCAACUGACGCUGAGGCUCGAAAGUGUGGGUAUCGAACAGGAUUAGAUACCCUAGUAGUC